UUAGUACUCUCUCCGUCCCAUAUUAAAUGUCGAAAUAUUACAUGUAUCUAAACGUUUUUUAUGUAUAGGUACAUUCAUAUUUGGACAAAUUUGAGACACUUAAUGUGGGACGGAGGGGGUAUGUU
rfam:Brachypodium distachyon strain Bd21 chromosome 2, whole genome shotgun sequence.